CCUACAGCCCCUGCCCAUCACCACCGCCGGCACGGGAGCGUGAGACCUGGGUCUGCAGGGCCUGAGGUGGUUCUACAGUCACUGUUCGCAGGACUGGAGACCAGAAUUCUGGAGCUGGUGUUCAGAGGGGCACUGGUUGAAGGGCUUUGCCUCAUGCUGUCAGGCAGGUGGCACUGCCUUCUACCGCGGGCAAGAUGGUCCUUUCUCUACGCCCUGCCAGCACCGUCUUCAUCAUUUUUUGUCAUCUUUGUUAAUUUGAUAGAACAGUGGUUUUGUAAUAUUGUUUCAAGUUAUAUUUCUUUAAUAACUAGUAAAUAAAACCUGUUUUUAGGCAUCACUUAUGUGAAUUGCCUAAUCCUAUCUUGCCUCUUUAGA